GCCCUCAUCGUCUAGUGGUUAGGACACCGCUCUUUCAAGGCGGCGGCAGGGGUUCGAGUCCCCUUGGGGGCA
rnacentral:tRNA from 1 species